rnacentral:rRNA from 1 species
AUUGAACGCUGGCGGCAGGCCUAACACAUGCAAGUCGAGCGAGUGGCGGACGGGUGAGUAAUGUCUGGGAAACUGCCUGAUGGAGGGGGAUAACUACUGGAAACGGUAGCUAAUACCGCAUACCAUCAGAUGUACCCAUAUGGGAUUAGCUAGUAGGUGGGGUAACGGCUCACCUAGGCGACGAUCCCUAGCUGGUCUGAGAGGAUGACCAGCGACACUGUGACUGAGACACGGCCCAGACUCCUACGGGAGGCAGCAGUGGUGAAUAUUGGACAAUGGGCGCAAGCCGGAUGCAGCCAUGCCGCGUGUAGGAAGAAGGCCGUAGGGUUGUAAAGUACUUUCAGUCGGGAGGCGUUACCGGCAGAAGAAGCACCGGCUAACUCCGUGCCAGCAGCCGCGGUAAUUC